rnacentral:rRNA from 1 species
UACGUAGGGGGCAAGCGUUAUCCGGAUUUACUGGGUGUAAAGGGAGCGUAGGCGGCCUGGCAAGCCUGAUGUGAAAUACCGGGGCCCAACCCCGGGGCUGCAUUGGGAACUGCCAGGCUGGAGUGCCGGAGAGGCAGGCGGAAUUCCUAGUGUAGCGGUGAAAUGCGUAGAUAUUAGGUGGAACACCAGUGGCGAAGGCGGCCUGCUGGACGGUGACUGACGCUGAGGCUCGAAAGCGUGGGGAGCAAACAGG